GGUUAUACUUAUAAUGCAAUAAAAAAUAUUCGGUAAUUAAUUAAUAAAGAUUUGUGAAUAGAUUUUUAAUUUUAUUGGGUGAAAUUUAUAAAAUUAAAGAGUAUUUAUAUUAAUUUUAUGAGGUUAGUAAAUUUAGAUUUUAGACUAGGAUUAGAUACCCUAUUAUUCUAAAUUAAACUUUGGUUACUUGGCUAGUAGUAGUUAUGGUCUUGAAAAUUAAAGAAGUUGGCGGUAUUUUAGUCUAUUCAGAGGAACCUGUCCUGUGAUCGAUGAUCCACGAUUUUUUUUACUUAUUUUAAUUAGUUUGCAUAUCGCCGUAGUUUGAAUAUUUUUAAAAAAAUGGAAUGUUCAAUAAUUUUUGUUUGAAAAGAAUUCAGGUCAAGAUGUAGUUUAUAGAUAAGAAGAGAUGGGUUACAAUAAAUUUAUUUAGGCGGAUUGAUAGAUGAAAUUUUAUUAUAAAGAUGGAUUUGAGGGUAAUUUUAUUUAAUUUGAUAAAAUGAUUUUAGCUCUAAAAUAUGUACAU
rnacentral:rRNA from 1 species